UACGGAGGGGGCAAGCGUUGUCCGGAUUUAUUGGGUUUAAAGGGUGCGUAGGUGGGGGCUCAAGUCUGGUUUGAAAGUUAGCUGCUCAACAGUUAGACGUGGCUGGAAACGGGGGUUCUGGAAUGGGUUGGAGGCUCCCGGAACGGGUCAUGUAGCGGUGAAAUGCAUAGAUAUGGCCCAGAACACCGAUUGCGAAGGCAGGCAGCUACGACCUGAUUGACACUGAGGCGCGAGAGCGUGGGUAGCGAACAGG
rnacentral:rRNA from 1 species